rnacentral:rRNA from 1 species
UACGUAGGGUCCGAGCGUUGUCCGGAAUUACUGGGCGUAAAGAGCUCGUAGGCGGUUUGUUGCGUCGGCUGUGAAAUCCCGAGGCUCAACCUCGGGUCUGCAGUCGAUACGAGCAAACUAGAGUGUUGCAGGGGAGACUGGAAUUCCUGGUGUAGCGGUGAAAUGCGCAGAUAUCAGGAGGAACACCGGUGGCGAAGGCGGGUCUCUGGGCAACAACUGACGCUGAGGAGCGAAAGCGUGGGUAGCAAACAGG